rnacentral:rRNA from 1 species
GGCGGCGUGCUAUACUGCAAGUCGAGCGGACAGAAGGGAGCUUGCUCCCGGAUGUAGCGGCGGACGGGUGAGUAACACGUGGGUAACUGCCUGUAAGACUGGGAUAACUCCGGGAAACCGGAGCUAAUACCGGAUAGUUCCUUGAACCGCAUGGUUCAAGGAUGAAAGACGGUUUCGGCUGUCACUUACAGAUGGACCGCGGCGCAUAGCUAGUUGGUGAGGUAACGGCUCACCAAGGCGACGAUGCGUAGCCGACCUGAGAGGGUGAUCGGCCACACUGGGACUGAGACACGGCCCAGACUCCUACGGGAGGCAGCAGUAGGGAAUCUUCCGCAAUGGACGAAAGUCUGACGGAGCAACGCCGCGUGAGUGAUGAAGGUUUCGGAUCGUAAAGCUCUGUUGUUAGGGAAGAACAAGUGCAAGAGUAACUGCUUGCACCUUGACGGUACCUAACCAGAAAGCCACGGCUAACUACGUGCCAGCAGCCGCGGUAAUACGUAGGUGGCAGCGUUGUCCGGAAUUAUUGGGCGUAAAGGGCUCGCAGGCGGUUUCUUAAGUCUGAUGUGAAAGCCCCCGGCUCAACCGGGGAGGGUCAUUGGAAACUGGGAAACUUGAGUGCAGAAGAGGAGAGUGGAAUUCCACGUGUAGCGGUGAAAUGCGUAGAGAUGUGGAGGAACACCAGUGGCGAAGGCGACUCUCUGGUCUGUAACUGACGCUGAGGAGCGAAAGCGUGGGGAGCGAACAGGAUUAGAUACCCUGGUAGUCCACGCCGUAAACGAUGAGUGCUAAGUGUUAGGGGGUUUCCGCCCCUUAGUGCUGCAGCUAACGCAUUAAGCACUCCGCCUGGGGAGUACGGUCGCAAGACUGAAACUCAAAGGAAUUGACGGGGGCCCGCACAAGCGGUGGAGCAUGUGGUUUAAUUCGAAGCAACGCGAAGAACCUUACCAGGUCUUGACAUCCUCUGACAACCCUAGAGAUAGGGCUUUCCCUUCGGGGACAGAGUG